rnacentral:lncRNA from 1 species
CUAUUGACUCAUCUGCCCACAUGAAGAGGACGGCGGCUGGGUCUUUAAUUUGAAGGAGCAGAAAGACAUAUAUUACUGUAGAUUCUUCAUAGUUUGGUCAAUUUUUCUUGGAACUAGGAAUUGUUGAGCAUGUGAAACUACACAUUAUCUUGUGGGAAUCUGCAGAAUGUUAUUACAUUCAGGAGAAGGAUGCUGGUGCCCCAUCCACCCGACCCACAGAACCAACAACUCCAAUACCGAAAGUACGUGUGAGUGAUGUUGUUGCGUGUGUCUGACUCUCCUACCUUGGCCUGCUGUAACU